CAUCCGCAUUUGAUCAGAUUGUUGAACCCUGUGGACAUUAAAACAAGGGACGGACGUAAAUCAUCCACAGCGAAUUUUGCUUAUACACGUCAAAGUCUUUGAAACUGAUAUGAUUAAAGGGGUGCAAGUCGAUCAUUUUGGUCGAUGAUAUCGGCACUAGCAGACCAAGGUAAUCACCGGAAACGGCCAUUUGUUGACGUGAACGACGGCACCGCGUCCACCCAUUUUUACGAGGACGUGUAAACCUGACAACAAUACAAAAGAAGGAAAGAAAAAGGAAGAAAAAAUCGAAAAAGAUGUUGAGAUGACAGACGGCAAAAAGUUGUUGGCCCAAGAGCUGAUGGUGUAUAGGUCAAUGAGAUUUGAUUGCAACGUGACCUUUAAGAGCCUUGUUUCUCCUAUCCAACCACUUUUUUUUUUCUUCUCUCUUAAUAGUUACAAGUCGUUGGACUUGUAUUUAACUAUUAGAUAUUUCUUGCGUGUUUUGCCUCUCUCGUCCGUCUCUCUCUCUGUUUCUCGUUCUUUCUUUCUUGUCAAACUGCGAUGCUAUCGAUCCUCCGGGAACGGUUUCGAUUACACGCGCGCCUUUCACGCAUCGGGAGGCCAAAGUUCAAGAUGAAAUGUUGGGGAUGGUGCGACGAUACGCCCACCACCCAACUUUCAAGCUGAAUUCUAUCCUGUUUGUUCCAGUAUAUCACGUAUGGUCGUCUGGUGCAAGAUUAUUGACUCAAAAAAAAUAUUCUUCUCUCUUUCUUUCCUGGAUUUGUUGUUUGAGAUUCGUCAAGGGCGUCCGCGCAAUCGACCGUAAUGUCAGACAAUCACGAGUAUAGUUAAUUAUGUCGUGCAACUUUUCAUAGAAAGCCCAUCGCUGUAAAGAGCUGGACUGAAACGUAAGAGGCCGCUCCUCAGCCUACGAAAUCGGCGAUGAAAUUCGAUCGUUGUGUGGCCCACCCUCAGCGACUUUCCACGAAAGCUGUGUGGACGGGCACCCGUCACAUUUCCCCCCCACUUUUUUUCGUUUCUUUUUUAGAUUUUUUUAUUUCUCUCUUUCCCCAGAAUUUGUAUGAACCGAGGGAGACGACGUCUCGUCUUUCUAAGUUAUUUUCUCGAUUUCCCAUUUUGGCCUCUCUCGUUCUCCGUUUACGAGCGUCCGAACGUGUGUGGCCCGUAGUCGCCAUUCCGCCCUCUAGAAUCGGAAAUAAUUCGAGGAAAUUUCUGUUUUCACGUAAUACAUAGACACGGCGAAAUGAAUCAGACUCAAGAACAUCCUUUUAUUUCGGGGUUAACCCAAAAUGACCCCCCAUUUCAUUAGCAGCCGAUGACAAAUUGAGUGGUUUAAAUUUUGCGGCAUGGGCGCGGUUUGCGCUUUUCCCUGUCAUCGGACGCGUCAGUCAUAAAAUCAGGGUGUAGGUGAAAGGGGUUGAAAGAGGGUUUUUAAAAAUUGGCGUUUCGUUUUUCGCGAAAUGAUGAGUUUUAAACUGACACGCCAGACGAGAAUCAAAUGUCUGAAUGAGCUCAUCUUCUCCUUUGUACUUUGUCAUCCUCGGGUGUGUGUAAGUCAAUCUUUUGUGGUGGAUGUUGUAUUUCCUCGUGCCAAUAUUGACAUUGCGUUUGUCUUUGGUCAAAACAAUCAUACAGUCAAGGAAGCAGGGUCAGAUAAACUGCGAGCAAAAGGGAAGAGCAAAUGAAAACGUGAAAAAAAGAACCAGAAAAAGGUGGAACAUUGAAACAGGAAGAAAAAGGAGAGCCGCUUGAGUAAACAUCAAGCCCUUCCUUUCAAUUGCUUAAAGAAGAAAAAAAAAAAUGACGUCAAAACAAGCAUUGACACGUGAAUAAUCAGAAAGACAACUACCAAACAAACACUAACCACAACGACGUUCGCACAACCGAAAAUCUUUUAAGUCUUUCUAUCACGUCUCAAGUUAAGUCAUCCAGUGGGGAAGUCAGAAAAAAAUGCUCCAGGUACUUUUAGUUAUCCCCAAACUGAAUUUGUGUUAAUCAUCCAACCGAGAGGGUGAUGCAUCUGAGAGCAUCUGAGAGAACUUCAUCUUCUCCUCUGUUCUUCUUCUUCUUUUUUUUUUGUUCCUUUCUUGUUUACGUUCUCGAUUUGAUGUUGAAUUUCUUCACCUGAUCGUUAGAAGCGAUUACAAAGCUUUUUCUAGCUGACCUUUUUUUUUUUAUCUUGAAAAAUCAGACACAUAAGGGGGUUUGUUCAUUGAAUCGUUCCAGCCGAUUAGUAGAUUUAUCUCUUAGUUUUCUUCUUAGUUCAGUGAAUCUCCAUAUCAGAAUAAAAAUUGUUUUCUUCUCUGUUUCAUGUAAUCAGCCGAAGGCGUCCCUCAUUGUUGUUAGUUUUCUCGUGUUGUUCACUCGGAGCGUGACCUCUUCACCUGUUUAGAGAAACGGGAAGAAAUCAACCGAUUUACAGUAUAUAUGAAACACACACACAAAAAUGAACCUCAAGGAGGCGCCAGCGGCUAUACGAAAAUCGUGCCUCUUCUGGGCCUAAGCUUUCUUAUAAAAUCGUAAAACCCUUACGUUUUUCACCUGACGUGACACAAAACGUAUAACAGCAGACAUCGUUGGAGCAAGCUUGGCUGUGGCGUCACUUUGACCCGACGAAAUCGCAAAGAGAUCUUGAACAUGGGUCUCAUUUUUUUUUCUGCCUCCAGUUGAUUGGGCAGCAUUACGAUGCUGCGGAUAUCUCGUUACAGCAUGCGCCGCGAUAUGUUCCCGCUUUCUCUUUCAUUCACUGCGUCCGACGAAACAAACGGCGAUCGACUCCCAUGUUAUCUUCAAGUUGGUUAAAUCAGCAGUAAUGUUAUAUUCGAGUAGCGUGCAGGGACUUAUCAACACGUCCAUGUGGGAAAGAAAAGGGAGAAAAUUGAAAUAAGGCAAAGGGGAUAGAGAAAUUCCAUUGGAAGCGCUGGAGAGGAAUCUGAAAGGUAUCGGCUGUUGGGAGGUCGUGACGACAGGUGUUCCAGCCUUCCGUGACCGACCAACCGAAGGCUGGCGGUAUGUAAGCCUGAGCUUGGCUAGAAUAACACAAAGACUUGACAAGUUUAACGCAAACAUAAACCAAACAACAACAAAAGACGUAUAGUAUCAUCAGAGCCUAUGCCGCAUCGUGCGGGUGUUGAUUGCAUGAUACGGCAACGCCGACAGAUUGUUUUACCAGAAGCUUUCCUCGAAAGCAACUGACCCUUUCGAUUCCUUUGAUUUUGCAAGACUUUGUGAUGCCAUCAGCAUGUUGUCCUAUAUCAGCCAUUUUGAACCCCAUCGUGUAAGUGAUUAUUUAAUAGGUUUAUUAUCACUAUAGGGGUUUUUUACUGAUGGUAGUCAGCAGUCACGAUAUUUACGUAAUACGACAGGUCCCAAGUAAAAGGGACUUCAGGAUACGAUCUCUUAUUGAAUUGUUAGAUCUUUAUGCGCUAUUGGCGUUUAGCGGGGUGCCAUUUUUCACGCUGUUCGGUUUCCAUUAAAUUUGACAUGCAUUGCCUGCGUCUGGAUGCGAUGGACGCUAUUAGCAUGAAUCACGGCCAUUCCUUAAAAAAAAAGCAAACUGUUGAACGUUGAACGAAGCGCGAGGAAAUCCAUUCAGUUAAAUGGAAGGCGCAUUAUUGAUGUGCACGAGCGGUUCACGAGCAUUCGAAGAGGUUGGGUUGUCGCUCUUAAAAAUAGCGCAGGCGGGAGCUCCAAGACCGUCGUCGGGAAAUACAAAACGAAAAAAUAAUCAUCGAAAGUGUGGAAGCCGAAUAUCUCCCGGAGCUUUCUUCACCCCGUUCGGGACCGUUACUUCAGGACUGGCUGAAAACAAAAAGAAAAACAAUAAGCUGCCUACAGUAGUAUUUAGAGCCAAGAAAUGCACAACGAGGAAGCAGCUGAGAAACGGAAAAGAGCCAAACUAAGAUCACCCAGAUUUUUUGUUUUUUGUUGGGUUUCCCGCGAGAGAUUGCGAUCGUAUACAGUCAGAGGAGAAAUAUGCAAAGAGUCUCAUCACUCGGCCGUGAGUGUCUUUCUGAACGCUAUAUUCUCUUUUAUUUUCGUUUCAGUUGUUGUUGAAUAGUUUUAAAAAGGAAGCGCAAUCAACAAAAAAAAGGAGGAGAGAUCCGAGCAACUUGGAAAACAAACAAGUCAAACAAAUUUUUCCCAUUUUCUUGCCGGCUCGGAUUGUUCACUUUGCUUCCCUGGAACAGCCUUUUGGCAAUUGACUCGUCUAGCCAUCCAUUCAGCUUGCGCUUAACAAAACAAAGCCUAAAAACAUUUUUGAAAGGCGUUUACAUUGAGCUCAUUAGUGGGUUGGUUCACUACAAUUUCGGUAGCCUUCCAACAGCCGCCAGCAUCCCGAACGGUUGGACAUGGCGUCUGCUUAUGUGUCGGGGUUGAGGUCGGAUGAUCGGCGCCAUCGCGUGCAAUCGAUGCCAGGGAUGUUAUAGAGAACGUUCCAAAGGUUGUUUCGUGUUGUCGUUCCAGUCAGUUGGUUUCCGCAGCAGCGCCGAGCCAGGAGACCACGUUCUUAUCACGUCGAUAUCGGGUGUUACGUAGGGCAACUAAAAAAGAAAAUGACGAAACCAAAAUGCAAGACGCGGAGGACGUACAGAAAAUCAAAAAAAAAAAAAGAACAACAAACAUAGAGACUGUUGGGCUUAUAAAGAUGGCUCACAAACAGCAGGGAUUUUACGUCGUCAUGCGAUCCGACGACCCAGUUUUCUUGCAAGAACUCUUCGGCGGCCAGUUGCUGAUGGCUCCAAUGUUCGGAAGCUCAGCGGUGGCCCGACCUCUGACCCCGCCGACUCGAACUGUUGAUGGAGUCGUUUUUCUCCCUUUUUAUUUUCGCCUUUUUCCCGCAGACGUGUAAACACCGAACAGCAUCGGCACCAGCUGAAAAGCUUUUUGUUUUGUUUUGACCCCUUCUCAUUUUCUCUAUUCAGUCAGCCUGCCUUUCGUCCAAUAUCCGUCCCAAUGAGUUUCAUUAAACUAACGUUGCAAACAAAAUCUAUAACUCAGUCAGCGGAGGGUGAACGCACCGAGAAGCGCUACCGGAUUCUUAUGCAGAUGAUCCAGGAAAAGAAAAGUAAAUGGUCCGCUAACUCUGCUCCUCUACUAUGUAUGCGGCGAGGAUUGCGUAUAAAUUACAUACUAAAUCCCCGACGUGAGGUUGGCUACGAAAUGCGUCUAAAAUACUAACAGAUGUGUAACACUCUAUAGAUCACGAACUGCUUCUCGUUCACCUUAGCGACCGAGGAAUAAACAAACAUCAUCGCACCCCAAAUGUGUUUUACCCAAACAAUGGAGGGUGAAAACGUGAAGGGUCGGGAGCGGAAGGUGCAGGCGUGAAUAGAACGCCACGCAUUAUAACCUUUAGUAGAAUUGAUUUCAAAAACCCACACGCAACGAUUGUGUGUAAGAUAGCGGAGGCAAAAUCUACCGGAUUUCGAAUGAAUCUCUUCGGGCCAGCAUUUUGUCUGGUGUCUUGAUUCGAAAAUGUUCCAUCACAGUCAACCGAAAAGGACGAGAUUGAAUGUGAUCUUUGAAACUGUUGUUUGUCUGUUGUCAGCGAUAGAGUUAUACGUAUGUGAUGUAUAGUAUAGAGGGGGGGUUUUUAAUUUGAAAAAAACAAACAAACUGGGGAUUGAAACUUAUGGUUGAACGCAGAACAAGAAUCUCCUUCUUGUGUUUGUAAAUGUUUUUCUUUGUUUUUGUGGCUUUUUUUCAAAACUCAAUCAAGAUUCCAUGAUCCAACCAUGAAGAAAGAAAA